GAAGAUGUUUUGACAUUCCUUAAAGAGCAAGUUGACACAACAACAGAGUUUAAGUUGUGUGUUGACAGAGAAGACCUUCCAGAGAGAGGCAUUAUUCAAUGGAAGAGAAAAAAAUCAGCAUCUCCUGUCAGUCUGCUCAAGGUGGUCUUUAUAGGAGAGUCGGGCAUUGAUACUGGGGCUCUCAGAAAGGAAUUUCUGACUGACAUGAUUUCAGGGAUUGAAAACCGGUUCUUUGAGGGGACUGGGAGCCAGGGAAAAAAUCCUAAAUACUCUCUAACUGACCUUGAUGAAGAGAAUUUCAGAAUAGUUGGAGAAAUAUUUGCAGUCAGUCUUGCACAAGGGGGUCCUCUUCCUGCAUUCCUGAGGGAGUGGUGCUACAACUUUCUCUGUGCAGGAGAAGUUAACUUCGGUUGUCUGAGUAAGGAGGAUGUCAUCUGUAGGGUAAGCAAUCAUUUGAACUCAAUGUGUCAGGUUUAUAUCAUAUUUAAGAUGAUUAUUAACCAUCUCUUCCACUGUUGAAUUUUGCAGGUUGAAGAUGCUGCAGAUACAGAAUCUCUAAUGAUGUUGGCUGAUGAAAUUGUUAGUUGUGGGUACACUAGUCAGAUUAAUCAUGAGCAGAAAGAAAGCAUAAUUCGGUGAGUUUUAUUUAUUUAUUUAUUUUUUUAUUGUCAUUUGUUUGUUUGUCUUUUUAUUUAAAGUGCUAUCGUCCUACACUACAACAAGACUGAUUCCAAUUCUGCAGCAACUUCAAAAUGGCAUGCAACUGUAUGGCCUGGUGGAUUAGUUGAGUAAAAACUCUGAAUUAUGCAAACCACAGUUUGUUCCAGGAAAAGAAGUAAGACAAAAGUAAGUUAAAUCUUUUAUAAUGUCAUUUCCAGUGCUAUUUUCUUUAUAUUUAGAAAGGUAAUCACCAAUUAUUUUUUUUUUCUAUUGUUAUUUUUUUCUGUAGCCUGAUGCAGACUUCAUCAUGAUGAACUGUCAGCCACAGUGAAAAGGGAACAUCGAAAGAGAGAGUUGAGAGGAAGGUGACUAACUUCCUUCAAGACAUCCUGCAAGAGCUUGAUGUGGCAGUUGAUGUGUCCAUUGCUGAUGAGGAAGAUGAUACAGUUCUGGGUAGUGCACAACCCCUCUCUGUCCAAAAGGUGCUCCAGUGGAUGACAGGGCAGUCCCACAUUCCUAUCCUCCCAGAUGAAAAGAGAAGGUUCAAAAUCAUAAUUAAUUUUGAUCACAAUUGCAUAGAGCGACAGGGAAAUCACUUGGUAUGUUAUCCGGUAGUUAGUGCCUGCACAUUUCCUGUUCAACACAUGAGCACGUACCAGGAGUUCAAAAGAAUUAUGACUGAUGCUGUUAAAUAUGGAGGAGGAUUCUUCAGAGUUUAAAGCAUGACAGUCAGACACAUAACGUUGUUCACAGCAAUUUAUUUUUGUUUAAUGACAGCACUUUUAAAAAUGCUGCACUUUAGCAUGUAUCUUUGGUUAAUAAUACAAUAACAGGUAUUUACAUUCAUGUGCAGAAUGGUCUGUAAACGUU